CUCCGACCUGCCUUCCUUUUCCACUCCCAUGCCCCUCGUGGAGUUUUCCAAGGCCUGGAUUUAGCCUUCCAACCCACGUGGUCCCUCCCCUCCUGCCACCAGUCACUUUCUUAAAUACCGAGCUCUCUCACCGCCGCCCCUGAAUUUUCCCAAAACUCCCACUGCCCACUCCACGCCCCUUCAUGCCGGCUGACAUCAGCCUGGGAAGUUCCCGGCGUGCUCUCCCCUCUACCACGCUCUGCCUCCUGCUCCAUAAGCCUUUGCACUUCGUGGAUGAAAAUAAAACGCGCGCUGCUUGGCCUGGGACCUCCUCCUCGGAGAAAGCUGGCGAUCAGAGCCCACACUCAAGGUCACUGGUGGGGCUGGGCUGGCCUUGCAGAGCCCAAGGCUGCAUCCCCCAGAAAGCUCUCUGUUGGCUUCCUCUGUGACCGCCAAGGGCACCCACAGGCUUUAGGGGCGGAGCCUCCUGAAUGGAGCAGACGCGCUCUGGGCAGAGUGGACGCAAGUGACCCUGGGGCCGAUGCAGACGCUGACCGCUGACCACUGACCGCCGACCGCUGACCGAGAGUAACGCCCUCGCCCUAGCUGGACCUCAGCCGGCAGGCACUGGCACAGGGCCAGGCCUGGAGAGUUGGAGAUGCCAUCUAGGACAUCCUGCUUGCAUGGCAAGAGCUCUACCUACAUCAUCAGCCCCCAAUAAACAAAGAAAGCACUUAACUUCUACUCCAAGGAAAUGCCAGUUAACAAAUGUAACUAGACCAAUACACUCUGAGGAGAAUUAUUCUUACCCCCACCCUUCCUUCUAAAGACAAAAAGGAGGAGGAGGAGGAGAAGGAGGAAGAAGAAGGAGGAGGAGGAAGAAGGAGGAGGAGGAGGAGGAGGAGGAGGAGGAGGAAGAGGAAGAGGAAGAGAAAGAACACAGCCAGGCGUGGUUUUGGGCCUCCAUGCCUUUCACAACCACUUUUCUCUCAUUUCCUCUCCUUGCUGGCAGUCUUUCACAGCCUGGCCCUGCCCUGCCUACUCAUUGUUCCUUGUGGGAAAUGGCCAAGAUGCCAACCGACUCUUGGAUGCCCCCAGCACCAGCAGCACCAUGAGUCAGCACAGCGUACACUGCUCUUUUGUGAGCUCUCUCUCGCCGCAGAGCAAGCUGGGUAGGACAGUGGGUGAGCAGCGGUCACCGGAGGAGGAGCGCUCUUUCUGCCUCCAGCAACCUCAGGACAGAACCUCUGACCCUGGCUUAUCACUGGGGCUUAUGGCAUUUGCUCAAAAUUCAUUGUACAAAAGUCAGUGCUUUCUCUGUGGCACAGAACAUUAAGUGCAGGUCACAGAACAGCCACUUCCUGUGACAUUUGCCACCAAGUACCGCUGGUGAGGUUCAAGGGAACAUCCACAACAGAGAAAGCUGCCCUUGGAAUGCUCGGAACUUACAGAGAGGCCAGACUGUAGCUAACAAAAACAGUGAGGAAAUGCCAGCACUAUUUAUAGGGUCUGAGGGGUGGGUGUAAAACUCAGGUGUGGCGGAUGCUAGGGUGAGGCACAGGGGCACAGGGAGCUGCGUCUGUCACGCUGGGUGACUGUGUCCGAGUCCCUCGGAGACAGAUCUGCAGCACCUCUACUCUCACUGCUUCUAAAUGAACUACCACGGGUCAAGCUGGUCUCAUCACCAGCUUCUGAUGUGAGACAGGCAUCCUCCAGCCUUUAGCUUAGUGGAGAAGUGUUACCGUCAGGGUCCCUGCAUCUUGCAGCCUCCUAGACUCUGCGCUUGACUCUCCAGCUUGAUGAGGUGCUGCAUUUGUGUUUAGCACAGACCCUCUUCACAUAUGUAGAAGAUGCUAUCUGGCUUUUUCCGAUCACUGUAAUCUGAUGUGGCAGGAUUAUCACAGAAGCUGCUUUCUGUCACACGGUCAGUCUUCGUCUCUUUGAAGUCCAGAGAUCACAUCACUGUUGGAUUAAAUAGAAUACAGAGAAGCGUGUCCUUCAACCACAGACUUGAAUUUCCCACUGUUAAGAUUUAUGAUUAGUGAACCAGGGUGUUGUGGGCCCAAGCCUUUAAUCCUAGCAUUCAGGAGGCAGUAGAUGGAUCUCUGGGUGUGAGGCCAGCCUGCUCUACAGAGAGAGUUCCAGGUGGGUCAGGGCUACACAGAGAAACCCUAUCUGGAAAAACCAAAGAUAAAAAAUAAAAUUUAUGAGUAGCUACUUUGGGUGUAUUUGCUCAGUAGAGCAGCCAUCCCUACAAUGUAACUUUUGGAAAUGUUCAUUCCUGGCCACGGAAGAGGGCUCACGACUUUCGGUUCUUCACUGGCAGCUGGUUAACACCCAGUCUGCCUCCUGACUCCAGCCAUUCCAGAGAUCUCUUACAGGCUCCUACAGCCCCUCUCGUGUCUGACUGGGAAAAAUCCUCCAUGUUGUACUUCGUCCUUUCGGCUGAGAAAUACCGCAUUAUAUGGAAAGGCCACUUCAUGAUCACACAUCCGCUGACAGACUUUUGGAUUGUUUCUGCUUUUGCACUAUUACAGAAUAUAGGUUUGAGCAUUCAUGUACAAGUGUUUCGGGUGGACACCUAGAAGUGGUCGGCUGGUGACCUGUACCUGCAUGUUGUUAACGCUCUAGGAGAUGGCGGGUCGCCUUUCCGAAGGAGGAGGUAUCUACAGUCCCAGCUUCCCACCAGCAGCGAAUGAAUGCAGCGAAUGAACGCAGCCGUCUGUCCACACCCUCAGCAGCACCUGGCAUUUACUUUUCUUUUUCAUUACAGCUGCCCUAGCUGAAAGGAGGAGCUUCACAGUGCCGCUAGUAGUACACCUCUCCUUGUACUACUGCCCAUCUGUGGGUCUUCUGUUCACAAAUGUCCAUUCAAAUACCUUGCUUUUGGUAUCAGGUAUUUAUUGUUGCGUCUUUAUUGUCUUUUUACUUUUGACGUGUAUGGGUUCUUUUGCUGUGGGUUAGGACUGUUAGCGCAGUCCUAUAGCUCUUCCGUCCAUGCAGAAGAAUUUGGCUCAGUCCUGCUAAGAGCAGAAUGAAGGCAUUCAUUUUGUACUCUUUGCUUUUUUUGUUGGUCUGGUUUGGUUUGGGUUUGAAGACACAGGGUUUCUCUGUGUAGCUUUGGCUGUCCUGUAGGCUGGCUUGUUUUGAGCUCAGAGAUGCCUGCGGGGCGUAAAGGCAUGAGUCACUAUGCCUAGCUCACUCCAUAUAGUAGUAGGCCCUGGUCCCAAGCCACCUUUUCAAUUUCCUGAUGCUAUCUUUUGAAGGAAAAAAAAAGUCUCAAUUUUAAUGAAACCUAAUUUGUAUAAAAAGGUUUGUUGCUUUUAAUGUCAUAUCCAAAAAAUUAUUGCCUUGCCUCAUCUUAUGUAUUAGGACAGAGAUGUAUACCAGUGUUUUCUCCUCGGAGACUUUCAGCUUCACCUGGUAUAUUCCGAGUUCACAGCUGCACGUGAUGAGGUCCUGGGCCAACCACGGCAACCAUCAUGUGUGGAUAUCACUUGUUUAACUCCGCUGGAAGACUCACUUCACCUGUCAAGUAUUAGUUAAUCGUAAAUGUACGGCGUAUUCCACUUAGUCUGGCUUUAUGCAUUUUUACUAAUGCAUAUUAAUAUGUAUUAUGAGUAAUGUACAUUUUCUUUGCAGAAAGUUUGAAAUAAGGAAAUAAACUUCAUAGGUCUU